GUUCAAAAUUGACAGAUUUUGUAUAGAUUGUGCAUGGAAAACUCAAUUUUCUGCAAUAAAAGAAUUAACUACACCAUAGAAUUUUGAGAUAACAUAUGAAAAGACAGCUUUAAUAGUAUGCUUUCAGUUAACAAAGAGAAACCAGAAUCUCCGCAGGGCGCAGCUUUAUACGACUCCAGAACCCUGAACGGUUGGGGCUAGUAUGGACACAACAUUUAAACUGGAUACAGCUCUGAAUUUGGAUUGUGAUUAAAUAGUUGACACAGCAUAGGUUUCUGACACAGAAUGAAUGUGGUCUAAUGAACUUAAAAUGUUUUUGUUUUUUUUUGCUUUUGAGCAAUUCACUAUGCUGCUGAAUAUUAAUCCUUUGAUAUUUGAAGAAAUUUUCUUUUUCUUUUCAUUUUCUGA
rnacentral:lncRNA from 1 species